rnacentral:rRNA from 1 species
AUUGAACGCUGGCGGCAGGCCUAACACAUGCAAGUCGAGCGGAGCGGCGGACGGGUGAGUGAUGCCUAGGAAUCUGCCUUGUAGUGGGGGCUAACAUCCGGAAACGGGCACUAAUACCGCAUACUAUCAGAUGAGCCUAGUUCGUAUUAUCUAGUUGGUGGGGUAAAGGCCUACAAAGGCGACGAUCCGUAACUGGUCUGAGAGGAUGAUCAGUCACACGGGAACUGGGACACGGUCCAGACUCAGACGGGAGGAAGUGGUGGGGAAGAUUGGACAAUGGGCGAAAGCCUGACCCAGCCAUGCCGCGUGUGUGAAGAAGGUCUUCGGAUUGUAAAGCACGUUAAGUUGGGAGGCGUUACCAACAGAAUAAGCACCGGCUAACUUCGUGCCAGCAGCCGCGGUAAUUC